rnacentral:rRNA from 1 species
AUACGGAGGGUGCAAGCGUUAAUCGGAAUUACUGGGCGUAAAGCGCGCGUAGGCGGUUUGAUCAGUCGGAUGUGAAAGCCCUGGGCUCAACCUGGGAACUGCAUUCGAUACUGUCAGACUAGAAUAUGGUAGAGGGUAGUGGAAUUCCUGGUGUAGCGGUGAAAUGCGUAGAUAUCAGGAGGAACAUCAGUGACGAAGGCGGCUACCUGGACCAAUAUUGACGCUGAGGUGCGAAAGCGUGGGGAGCAAACAGGAUUAGAAACCCUAGUAGUCC